rnacentral:rRNA from 1 species
AUCAGCCAUGCCGCGUGUGUGAAGAAGGCCUUUUGGUUGUAAAGCACUUUAAGCGAGGAGGAGGCUACCGAGAUUAAUACUCUUGGAUAGUGGACGUUACUCGCAGAAUAAGCACCGGCUAACUCUGUGCCAGCAGCCGCGGUAAUACAGAGGGUGCAAGCGUUAAUCGGAUUUACUGGGCGUAAAGCGCGCGUAGGUGGCCAAUUAAGUCAAAUGUGAAAUCCCCGAGCUUAACUUGGGAAUUGCAUUCGAUACUGGUUGGCUAGAGUAUGGGAGAGGAUGGUAGAAUUCCAGGUGUAGCGGUGAAAUGCGUAGAGAUCUGGAGGAAUACCGAUGGCGAAGGCAGCCAUCUGGCCUAAUACUGACACUGAGGUGCGAAAGCAUGGGGAGCAAACAGGAUUAGAUACCCUGGUAGUCCAUGCCGUAAACGAUGUCUACUAGCCGUUGGGGCCUUUGAGGCUUUAGUGGCGCAGCUAACGCGAUAAGUAGACCGCCUGGGGAGUACGGUCG